rnacentral:rRNA from 2 species
AUUCCGGUUGAUCCUGCCGGAGGCCAUUGCUAUCGGAGUUCGACUUAGCCAUGCUAGUCGCGCGGGUUUAGACCCGCGGCAAAUAGCUCAGUAACACGUGGCCAAACUGCCCUACAGAUCGGAAUAACCUCGGGAAACUGAGGCUAAUGCCGAAUAGGACUUUCAGGUUGGAGUGCCGAGAGUUCGAAACGCUACGGCGCUGUAGGAUGUGGCUGCGGCCGAUUAGAUAGACGGUGGGGUAACGGCCCACCGUGCCGAUAAUCGGUACAGGUUGUGAGAGCAAGAGCCUGGAGACGGAAUCUGAGACAAGAUUCCGGGCCCUACGGGGCGCAGCAGGCGCGAAACCUUUACACUGCACGACAGUGCGAUAGGGGAACUCCGAGUGCGAGGGCAUAGAGCCCUCGCUUUUCCACACCGUAAGGUGGUGCGGGAACAAGUGCUGGGCAAGACCGGUGCCAGCCGCCGCGGUAAUACCGGCAGCACAAGUGAUGGCCGAUUUUAUUGGGCCUAAAGCGUCCGUAGCUGGCCGUGCAAGUCUGUCGGGAAAUCCAGUGGCUCAACCUCUGGGCUUCCGGCGGAAACUGCUCGGCUUGGGACCGGAAGACUCGAGGGGUACGUUCGGGGUAGGAGUGAAAUCCUGUAAUCCUGAACGGACCACCGAUGGCGAAAGCACCUCGAGAGCACGGAUCCGACAGUGAGGGACGAAAGCUAGGGUCUCGAACCGGAUUAGAUACCCGGGUAGUCCUAGCUGUUAACGAUGCCCGCUCGGUUCGGCGCAGGCUACGAGCCUGUGCCGCGCCUCAGUGAAGACGUAAGCGGGCCGCCUGGGAAGUACGUCCGCAAGGAUGAAACUUAAAGGAAUUGGCGGGGGAGCACUACAACCGGAGGAGCCUGCGGUUUAAUUGGACUCAACGCCGGACAUCUCACCAGCACCGACAAUGGUAAUGAUGGCCAGGUUGAUGACCUUACCCGACGCCGUUGAGAGGAGGUGCAUGGCCGCCGUCAGCUCGUACCGUGAGGCAUCCUGUUAAGUCAGGCAACGAGCGAGACCCGCAUCCUUAAUUGCCAGCAGCAUCCUUGUGAUGGCUGGGUACAUUAGGGAGACCGCCACGGCUAACGUGGAGGAAGGAACGGGCAACGGUAGGUCAGCAUGCCCCGAAUGUGCUGGGCAACACGCGGGCUACAAUGGCCGGGACAGUGGGAAGCUAAUCCGAGAGGAUACGCUAAUCCCCUAAACCCGGUCGUAGUUCGGAUUGAGGGCUGAAACUCGCCCUCAUGAAGCUGGAUUCGGUAGUAAUCGCGUGUCAGAAGCGCGCGGUGAAUACGUCCCUGCUCCUUGCACACACCGCCCGUCAAAUCACCCGAGUGGGGUCCGGAUGAGGCCAUCAUGCGAUGGUCGAAUCUGGGCUCCGCAAGGGGGAUUAAGUCGUAACAAGGUAGCCGUAGGGGAAUCUGCGGCUGGAUCACCUCCU